GGUUGAUCCUGCCAGUAGCAUACGCUUGUCUCAAAGAUUAAGCCAUGCAUGUCUAAGUAUAAACAAAUUUAUACGUGAAACUGCGAAUGGCUCAUUAUAUCAGUUAUAGUUUAUUUGAUGGUCAUUGCUACUUGGAUAACCGUAGUAAUUCUAGAGCUAAUACAUGCAUCAAUCCCCGACUUCUGGAAGGGGUGUACUUAUUAGAUGGAAACCAAUGGGGCAACCCAACCUGGUGAUUCAUAAUAAUUCUCGGAUCGGACGUUCGUCCGAUGCAUCAUUCAAGUUUCUGCC
rnacentral:rRNA from 1 species